GUGGGAAAGGAAGGGGAGAGGGGGGUUAAAGUGAAUUAGAACCAUAUCGUCGUUAAUAGCCAAUAUUCAAGUCAGAUAUAUGUGACAAUAAGAUUAAAGAAGAUCAUUAUUUGAUCCCUGCUACAGACAUAUUGGCCAGUAAAUCUAACAUCUGUUUCAGCAUUGUCUAGAUGAUUAGUGCUCAUUAACUGGUAAAUUUCAAAAUCACAGUCUUCACAUGUAUACACAG
rnacentral:misc_RNA from 1 species